GGUCUCCGAGGAGGUCGGGGUUGCCCACCGUUUGAUCUACAACGGUGCGAAGCUCCGUACUUACACGCGGGCU
rfam:Cucumber necrosis virus defective interfering RNA isolate C39.